UACGUAGGGAGCGAGCGUUGUUCGGAAUAACUGGGCGUAAAGAGCUCGUAGGUGGUUUGUCGCGUUGUCCGUGAAAACUCACAGCUUAACUGUGGGCGUGCGGGCGAUACGGGCAGACUGGAGUACUGCAGGGGAGACUGGAAUUCCUGGUGUAGCGGUGGAAUGCGCAGAUAUCAGGAGGAACACCGGUGGCGAAGGCGGGUCUCUGGGCAGUAACUGACGCUGAGGAGCGAAAGCGUGGGGAGCAAACGGG
rnacentral:misc_RNA from 1 species